CAGAAAAGUUUUGGAACAGAGCUGCAAAGAUCUUAAGCACCAAAUAGAAAUUCUUCUAGACAAAGAGACAGUAUUAACACAGAAUAAUUCUGCCCUUCAGCAUAAAAUUCAUCAACAAGAAUCUCAGCUACGUACCUUGGACGAUGUACAAAAUGUGUCCGCAAAGGAGCGGAUCCAUAUUGAGAAUGCAAACCAGAAACUGACUGAGGAGCUUCUGCAUGUGCAGCAAGAGAAGGAACAGCUGCACAAAGAAUAUGAGAAUAUUCUGAAACAGCUGGAUGAAUAUAUUAGGAAAUUACAAGCAUGAUACCAUCAGAAUUACACAUUCUACAUCUGCCAAAAGGAAGUUUUUCAGCUCAUGGAAACCCCAGUCCUUCCGGAAUACUAAAAGCCAUUAAGAUUAACACUAUGUAUUUGCCACACUGGAACAGAAUGGCAUUUGACUUCUCAAAAUGUGAACACAUUUUGCCAAAGUGAACGGGUGCUGGAGGUGGGACGGAUGAAGGUGGAACUUUUUGCAGAUGUUGUACCAAAAACAGCAGAGAACUUCAGGCAAUUCUGUACUGGAGAAUUUAGGUGCAUGAACUUACAUUUUACAACAAUGAAUUUCAUCUGCCACUUAGCCACCCAGAUUGCCAGUUUGUCCAGAUCCUUCUCCAUUAAUUCGUAGCCAAGAUGGAGUUCAUUGGACCUGCACAGUUUUGUGUCAUCCGUGAACACUGAUACAGUGCCUUCCUCAAGCCAACAGUGAAGAAAUUAAAUAAAAGUUUGCCCUAUACAGAACUCUGCAGGACCACCCAGCAUGUACCAUUGAAAACUAAUCAGUAUACAGAAGAGCAACUUCUAUUAAUUAAAGGGAUCCCGUCAUCUGAAAACAUGUUUUUUUCAAAACGCAUCAGUUAAUAGUGCUACUCCAGCAGAAUUC